AAUGACCACAGAAUGGGUGGAGCCACUCAGCCUCAGUAAAGCAAAUGCUAGUGAUAACAGUUAGGAGCUACAGUAAGAGCAAAGCUAGCUACAACAUAUCUACUCUGCUAAUUCUACAAGAAGAAGAGCUAGCUACAAUAUUAUGAAGCCUGACUUGUACCAGGAUGCUAAUGUUAGCCCUGUCCAGAAGAAGGAAAAUCACUCAAAAACUCCUAGUCGUUUUACGGACUGAGGUGGCAGCAACAAGCUCAUCAGGCCCACCAGCAUGAUGUGUUGAGGACGUGAAAAUAUAUUAAGACAAGCAUUGUGAAGGACAUGAAAGGGGAGAGAGAGGGGGGACGACACGC